UGGGGAAUCUUCCGCAAUGGACGAAAGUCUGACGGAGCAACGCCGCGUGAGUGAUGAAGGCCCUUGGGUCGUAAAGCUCUGUUAUCUGGGAAGAAUGUAUUUAAUGUAAAUAGCAUUAGAUAAUGACGGUACCAGAGGAGGAAGCCACGGCUAACUACGUGCCAGCAGCCGCGGUAAUACGUAGGUGGCAAGCGUUGUCCGGAAUUAUUGGGCGUAAAGCGCGCGCAGGUGGGAAGGUAAGUCUGUCGUAAAAGAACAGAGCUCAACUCUGUUAAGCGAUGGAAACUGUCUUUCUUGAGUACAGGAGAGGAAAGUGGAAUUCCCAGUGUAGCGGUGAAAUGCGUAGAUAUUGGGAGGAACACCAGUGGCGAAGGCGGCUUUCUGGACUGUGUCUGACACUGAGGCGCGAAAGCUAGGGAAGUGAACGGG
rnacentral:rRNA from 1 species